AGAGUGAACGCUGGCGGUAGGCCUAACACAUGCAAGUCGAACGGCAGCACAGUGGUAGCAAUACCAUGGGUGGCGAGUGGCGGACGGGUGAGGAGUACAUCGGAAUCUACCUUUUCGUGGGGGAUAACGUAGGGAAACUUACGCUAAUACCGCAUACGCCCUUCGGGGGAAAGCCGGGGAUCGCAAGACCUGGCGCGGAUAGAUGAGCCGAUGUCGGAUUAGCUAGUUGGUGAGGUAAUGGCUCACCAAGGCGACGAUCCGUAGC
rnacentral:rRNA from 1 species